GUUUUGCCUUGACGAAUUGUAGUUUAAAGAAGUGUUUUCUGUUGAAGUUUUGGUAAAAGUUCUUUGGAAUAGGACAUCAUAGAGGGUGAGAAUCCCGUAUUUGACCAUUAUUUUCAGCUGUGUGAUACACUUUCAAAGAGUCGGAUUGUUUGGGAAUGCAGUCCAAAAUGGGUGGUAAAUUUCAUCUAAAGCUAAAUAUUGGCGAGAGACCGAUAGCGAACAAGUACCGUGAGGGAAAGAUGAAAAGAACUUUGAAAAGAGAGUUAAACAGUACGUGAAAUUGUCAAAAGGGAAGCGUUUGACACCAGUGUUGUUUUCUCGAAAAUCAAUUAAAAAAAGUUGGAUUUUGUGUUGUAUUGACCUUAACAGCUUUCUGCACUCUUUUCCUGCUUUUUUU
rnacentral:rRNA from 1 species